GACUACACGGGUAUCUAAGCCCGUUUGCUCCCCUGGCUCUCGCGUCUCAGCGUCAGAAAAUGUCCAGGAAGCCGCCUUCGCCACUGGUGUUCCUACCGAUAUCUACGCAUUUCACCGCUACACCGGUAGUUCCGCUUCCCUCUACAUCUCUCUAGUCUCACAGUAUCAAAUGCUGAUCCGGGUUGAGCCCGGAGAUUUUACAUUUGACUUACAAAACCGCCUACACGCGCUUUACGCCCAAUAAUUCCGGACAACGUUCGCCCCCUACGUAUUACCGCGGCUGCUGGCACGUAGUUAGCCGGGGCUUCCUCUGCAGGUACCGUCAAUAUCGUCCCUGCUGACAGGGCUUUAAGACCCGAAAGCCUUCAUCACCCACGCGGCGUCGCUCCGUCAGGCUUUCGCCCAUUGCGGAAAAUUCCUCACUGCAGCCCCCCGUAGG
rnacentral:rRNA from 1 species